UUGUCUUUCUCCGAUUUAUUUCACCUAGCAUAAUACCCUCUAGGUCUAUCAAUGUUGUCACAAAUGGCAAGAUCUCAUUCUUUUUGAUAGCUGAGGUAUAUUUCAUUGUAUACAUAUUACACAUCUUCUUUAUCCAUUCAUCUAUCGAUGGACACUUAGGUUGCUUCCAUAUUUUGGUUAUUGCAAACAAUGUUUCAAUAAACGUAGGGAUGCACACAACUUUUCAAAUUAGUGUUUUCAUUUUCUUUGGGUAAAUAUGCAGUAGUGGAAUUAAUGAAUAUCUAUUUUUAAGUUUUUGAGGAACCAUAACAUCUUUGACAAUAGCAUUAUAUUCAGGCCUUAUAAAAUGAAUGGGACAACAUUACUAUACCAGACUUAUAAAAUUAAUAACUCAAUACCAGAUGAUGGGGGAAGGCUUUAUUCAAACAAUUUUAUAUUACCAUUAAUAAAUACGAUAUAAAAUAUAAACCACGUUUUUUACAUGACAUGACUUAAGGAACUAUCAAGGUAAUGUUGCAUCUUUUCCCCAAAAGUUCUUUUCCUAAAUAGGUACCUCUGUGACCUUUAUGCUUAUUUCUAGGUAAAAACUGUGUUUCGAUGGUGAAAAUAGUUUUCAAGUCCAUGAAUAAGGACACAUGUGUACUUUUAUGUAUACCUUUCCAUUUAUCAGAAAUAUAAGAGGGACAGAGAACUUGAGAGAGAAAAUCUUUAGGUGAAGCAAGCAAGCUGAAACUGAGGAAAUUCUUCCUGAAAGAAUGAUUUAUUUCUUCCAAAGAAAAUUUGGUUUAUCAAAAUCAAUCAACAAAUGAGUGAACCCAUGGUGUGGUUAUUUAUAGCAAAAUUUAAAACCCAACACAGAUUUCUCUUUCCCAUCUAGCAUGCUUCUGUCUAACCUCUCAUCAUUAGUUGGUAUGUACAAAAGACACAAUUCACUUUAUUUAUAAUUUAAAUCCAGUCAGAAAUAAUAGGUGAACCUUCACUUCUCACAUGUGGACUUAUCUCUCUCUCCCUCCCGACGGGAAGGGAGACUUACCUAACGGGUGAAUUUGGGAGAAGGAGCUAAGCAGUGCUUAUGUGUUUCUGAAUCUCCUCUUUGAAAAGAUGUGCCUGCCCACAGUAACAUGAAUUUGGGUCUGCUCUCAGCUCUGUGAAAGAGAAGAGCAGUGUUACUUGUCGCCUACCCAGUGUCACCUGUCACAGCUCCACCAAGAAAAAGGACUAGACAACACUUACAGAAACAAUCUCUUCUUCCUUGGCUUCAUAACCAAUGUACAUCGUUCAAAAGCAAUGCCCACUCAAAAGAGAGAAAAAAUUGAAAGAAACCAUUUUAGAAACAAACAUAGAAAGUCAGACAAACUGAGGACACAGAGGAAUACCUUCCAAAUGAAAGAACAUGACAAAACCUACGAAAAAAAAAAACUAAGUGAAACAGAGAUAGGUGAUGUACCUCAUAAAGAGUUCAAGGGAAAGGUCAUAAAGAUGCUCAGUGAACUUGGGAGGAGAAUGAAUGGAUCCAGUGAUAACAUCAACAAAGAGAUAGAAAAUAUAAAAAAGAACCAAUCAGAGCUGAAGGAUACAAUAACAGAAAUGACAAAUACACUAGAGGGAAUCAGCAGCAGGUAGAAAGAUGCAGAAGAACAGAUCAACAAUUUGCAAGACAGGGUAGUAGAAAUCAUCCAAGCUGGAAAACAAAAGGAAAAAAGAACUUUAAAAAUGAGGCUGGGUUAAAGUACCUGUGGGACAACAUCCAGUGUAAUAAUACUUGCAUUCAAGGGGUUCCAGAAAAAGAAAAGAGAAAGGGGCAAAGAACUCAUUUGAAGAAAUAAAAGCUUCAUUUUAAAAAUUCAAA